rnacentral:rRNA from 1 species
GUGAGGAAUUUUCCGCAAUGGGCGAAAGCCUGACGGAGCAAUGCCGCGUGAAGGAUGAAGGCCUAUGGGUUGUAAACUUCUUUUCUCAGAAAAGAAUUAUGACGGUAUCUGAGGAAUAAGCAUCGGCUAACUCUGUGCCAGCAGCCGCGGUAAGACAGAGGAUGCAAGCGUUAUCCGGAAUGAUUGGGCGUAAAGCGUCUGUAGGUUGUUUAAAAAGUAUUCUGUCAAAGAUUAGGGCUUAACCCUAGAUAGGCAGAAUAAACUUUUAAGCUAGAGUUUGGUAGAGGCAGAGGGAAUUCCAGGUGGAGCGGUGAAAUGCGUAGAUAUCGGGAGGAACACCAAAGGCGAAGGCACUCUGCUGGGCCAAUACUAACACUGAGAGACGAAAGCGAGGGGAGCAAAUGGGAUUAGAAACCCUAGUAGUCC